UUUCAGUAGAAUGUUAUUUAUUUAAAUAUGGCUUACAAUACAAUUAAUUUUAUCAAUGACACUUCUAAACCUAAGAAUCACUACCGAAAUAGGAUAAUCUUAUAUAACCCAUCCCAACUCUUGAUCUAGUAAUCGCCUCAUAAAUAAACCCUUUAUUUAAUCUUUCCUAAUCAAUUUCAACCUCCUCUUAAAUCAAGUUAACUUAAAUGUUACGUUCUUUAUAUCUUCCAUGCUUUCCCCAUCUUUCCUAGCACUUUUUUAUAGAAAAAAAUGACAUUACAAAUAAGAUUUGCACACAUCAUUGACUAUGAAAAGACAUAGUGUACUUGUACUAUUCUGGUACUUCUGUUAAGUGGACAGCUACAAAGAAAACAUAAACGCAAAUCUACUGGUUACAGUAAAUAACAGUAGAG
rnacentral:lncRNA from 1 species